rnacentral:rRNA from 1 species
AAGGUAAUGCCUAGUACGGCGAGUGAGCGGCACAGCUCAAAUUUGAAAUCUGGCUCUUUUAGAGUCCGAGUUGUAAUUUGCAGAGGGCGCUUUGGCUUUGGCAGCGGUCCAAGUUCCUUGGAACAGGACGUCACAGAGGGUGAGAAUCCCGUACGUGGUCGCUGGCUAUUGCCGUGUAAAGCCCCUUCGACGAGUCGAGUUGUUUGGGAAUGCAGCUCUAAAUGGGAGGUACAUUUCUUCUAAAGCUAAAUAUUGGCCAGAGACCGAUAGCGCACAAGUAGAGUGAUCGAAAGAUGAAAAGCACUUUGGAAAGAGAGUCAAACAGCACGUGAAAUUGUUGAAAGGGAAGCGCUUGCAGCCAGACUUGCUUACAGUUGCUCAUCCGGGUUUCUACCCGGUGCACUCUUCUGUAGGCAGGCCAGCAUCAGUUUGGGCGGUAGGAUAAAGGUCUCUGUCACGUACCUCCUUUCGGGGAGGCCUUAUAGGGGAGACGACAUACUACCAGCCUGGACUGAGGUCCGCGCAUCUGCUAGGAUGCUGGCGUAAUGGCUGUAAGCGGCCCGUCUUGAAACCACGGACCAA